rnacentral:rRNA from 1 species
GACGAACGCUGGCGGCGUGCCUAAUACAUGCAAGUAGAACGCACAGUUUAUACCGUAGCUUGCUACACCAUAGACUGUGAGUUGCGAACGGGUGAGUAACGCGUAGGUAACCUGCCUGGUAGCGGGGGAUAACUAUUGGAAACGAAAGCUAAUACCGCAUAAUAUUAAUUAUUGCAUGUUAAUUAAUUGAAAGGUGCAUUUGCACACCUACCAGAUGGACCUGCGUUGUAUUAGCUAGUAGGUGAGGUAACGGCUCACCUAGGCGACGAUACAUAGCCGACCUGAGAGGGUGAUCGGCCACACUGGGACUGAGACACGGCCCAGACUCCUACGGGAGGCAGCAGUAGGGAAUCUUCGGCAAUGGACGAAAGUCUGACCGAGCAACGCCGCGUGAGUGAAGAAGGUUUUCGGAUCGUAAAGCUCUGUUGUAAGAGAAGAACGGGUGUGAGAGUGGAAAGUUCACACUGUGACGGUAUCUUACCAGAAAGGGACGGCUAACUACGU